AGGGGACCUUCGGGCCUUUCGCUAACAGAUGAGCCUGCGUUGGAUUAGCUAGUUGGUGGGGUAGGGGCCCACCAAGGCGACGAUCCAUAGCUGGUCUGAGAGGACGAUCAGCCACACUGGGACUGAGACACGGCCCAGACUCCUACGGGAGGCAGCAGUGGGGAAUAUUGGACAAUGGGCGCAAGCCUGAUCCAGCAAUACCGCGUGUGUGAAGAAGGCCCUAGGGUUGUAAAGCACUUUCAAUUGGGAGGAAAACCCACCGGCCAAUACCCGGUGGCUUGACAUUACCUUUAGAAGAAGCACCGGCUAACUCCGUGCCAGCAGCCGCGGUAAUACGGAGGGUGCGAGCGUUAAUCGGAAUUACUGGGCGUAAAGCGUGCGUAGGCGGCCCGUUAAGUCAGAUGUGAAAGCCUCGGGCUCAACCUGGGAACUGCAUUUGAAACUGGCGGGCUAGAGUUUGGUAGAGGGGAGCGGAAUUUCAGGUGUAGCGGUGAAAUGCGUAGAUAUCUGAAGGAACACCAGUGGCGAA
rnacentral:rRNA from 1 species